rnacentral:rRNA from 1 species
GACGAACGCUGGCGGCGUGCUUAACACAUGCAAGUCGAGCGGUAAGGCCCUUUCGGGGGUACACGAGCGGCGAACGGGUGAGUAACACGUGGGUGACCUGCCUUUAGCUCUGGGAUAAGCCUGGGAAACCGGGUCUAAUACCGGAUAUGACUCCGCGGCGCAUGUUGUGGGGCGGAAAGCCUUGUGCGGCUGGAGAUGGGCCCGCGGCCUAUCAGCUUGUUGGUGGGGUGAUGGCCUACCAAGGCGACGACGGGUAGCCGGCCUGAGAGGGCGACCGGCCACACUGGGACUGAGACACGGCCCAGACUCCUACGGGAGGCAGCAGUGGGGAAUCUUGCGCAAUGGGCGAAAGCCUGACGCAGCGACGCCGCGUGAGGGAUGACGGCC